rnacentral:pre_miRNA from 1 species
CAAGGCAACCAGGUGCCUCUAAUUGCCAGGGAGUGGGCAUGAGCUUGUGUUAAGCCCCCCUGUGCCUAAUUAGGGUGGGCCCCCACUGCACAUGAGCAGGACCAGGGGGGCCAAUAAAAGGACAAGCUCAUGGCCACUCCCUGGCAAUUAGGGGCACCUGGUUGCCUUGUUACACU